rnacentral:rRNA from 1 species
UAGGGAAUCUUCCGCAAUGGACGCAAGUCUGACGGAGCAACGCCGCGUGAGUGAAGAAGGAUUUCGGUUCGUAAAACUCUGUUGUUAGAGAAGAACAGCGCAUAGAGUAACUGUUAUGCGUGUGACGGUAUCUAACCAGAAAGCCACGGCUAACUACGUGCCAGCAGCCGCGGUAAUACGUAGGUGGCAAGCGUUGUCCGGAUUUAUUGGGCGUAAAGCGAGCGCAGGCGGUCAAUUAAGUCUGAUGUGAAAGCCCCCGGCUCAACCGGGGAGGGUCAUUGGAAACUGGUUGACUUGAGUGCAGAAGAGGAGAGUGGACUUCCAUGUGUAGCGGUGAAAUGCGUAGAUAUAUGGAGGAACACCAGUGGCGAAGGCGACUCUCUGGUCUGUAACUGACGCUGAGGCUCGAAAGCGUGGGGAGCGAACAGG